UAAGGAAUAUUGGUCAAUGGACGCAAGUCUGAACCAGCCAUGCCGCGUGAAGGAUGAAGGCCCUCUGGGUUGUAAACUUCUUUUAUCUGGGACGAAACAAGGGAAUUCUUUCCCUCUUGACGGUACCAGAGGAAUAAGCACCGGCUAACUCCGUGCCAGCAGCCGCGGUAAUACGGAGGGUGCAAGCGUUAUCUGGAUUUACUGGGUUUAAAGGGUGCGUAGGUGGGCAGGAAAGUCAGUGGUGAAAUCUUCAAGCUUAACUUGGAAACUGCCAUUGAUACUAUUUGUCUUGAAUAUCCCGGAGGUAAGCGGAAUAUGUCAUGUAGCGGUGAAAUGCUUAGAUAUGACAUAGAACACCCAUUGCGAAGGCAGCUUACUACAGGAUUAUUGACACUGAGGCACGAAAGCGUGGGGAUCAAACA
rnacentral:rRNA from 1 species